rnacentral:rRNA from 1 species
UACAUGGGGUGCAAACGUUGCUCGGAAUCAUUGGGCGUAAAGCGCACGUAGGCGGAUUGUUAAGUCAGGGGUGAAAUCCUGGAGCUCAACUCCAGAACUGCCUUUGAUACUGGCGAUCUUGAGUCCGGGAGAGGUGAGUGGAACUGCGAGUGUAGAGGUGAAAUUCGUAGAUAUUCGCAAGAACACCAGUGGCGAAGGCGGCUCACUGGCCCGGUACUGACGCUGAGGUGCGAAAGCGUGGGGAGCAAACAGG